rnacentral:lncRNA from 1 species
UCAUGCAUGUCAGUGACUUUUCUUCUUUUCCUUCUUGGUAUGACCAUCACUAUGCCUUUGAAGAGGUUGACGAUUGAUGUACUCCAAUUUUUAACCUCUGAAGUUGACAAUAAUUUAUGGACAUCAUCCGGAUCUACUAAUCUGCUUCGUUUGCCAAGCUUUGGUUCUUCUUUGACAAUGUUCCAAGCCAUUUCUUUAAGCAAAUCAUGCACCUCAAUC